rnacentral:rRNA from 1 species
UACGUAGGGUGCAAGCGUUAAUCGGAAUUACUGGGCGUAAAGCGUGCGCAGACGGUCAUGUAAGUCGGGUGUGAAAGCCCCGGGCUCAACCUGGGAAUUGCAUUCGAGACUGCAUGGCUAGGGUGCGGAAGAGGGAAGCGGAAUUUCCGGUGUAGCGGUGAAAUGCGUAGAUAUCGGAAGGAACACCAGUGGCGAAGGCGGCUUCCUGGUCCAGCACCGACGUCAGGCACGAAAGCGUGGGGAGCAAACAGG